UAUUAGGUUGGUGCAAAAGUAAUUGCGGGUUUUGCCAUUACUCUUAGUGGUAAAAACCACAAUUACUUUUGCACCAA
rnacentral:miRNA from 1 species